rnacentral:lncRNA from 1 species
ACAACGAGUUUAACGACACCGCGAGAAGCAAGCUGACAAUUAUGUCUCCUUUUUCAGGCAUUAAAACGUUUCGUUUGCGAAGCAUCGCCUUUCCGUAUGGCCAAGGGCAGUCACCGUUCGCUUGUGCCGUUUGAAUGAUAAUCAACUGUCUUUGUCUUGUUCGUUCUUCGCGCCAUUACAAUAGCGAGUGGUGGGGAUAGGGCACAGUCACGCGACCUACGGGUGCGUUUCCAUUAAUUCUCUGCGAACGUUGUCCUCACGAGUCCUGAAUUUCGCGUUCGCCUUAAGCAAAAUCGACUAGUAGUUCGUACUCUUUUCUCCAAUUACUUCUCGCCCGUGUUAAGAGUUCGUAAAUCGCUCGCGAUCUAUCGAGCCUGAGAAUCGAAUUCGUUUCUUUGCACGCUCUGGCGAGCACAAGAACGUAGUCAAGGUGUUGCUUCAUACAUAUGUGAAAAAAAAGAAACAUAUGUGGGUUCAGAGUGAUUUUAUAAUCUUGAUUGAUUUGCGAGCUCGAACGAUAUGAUGGAUCGUUCAAUCGUGUUAUGGAGAUAUUGACGAGGAAUGGAGGUUAAAUGAAAUGAUAAUUUUCAUAAAGAGUUCGUGGAAAGCAUAUUAAUCGCACAUGAUUAAAGCAGUGAAUAUAUUAAUUACGAACGAUAUCGAGUCGAAUCCAUUAUACUUUCAACUGAGUUAAGUGAAAACAAGAUAUAAAAGUUCGAAAGUGCAUCGUUUUUCAUAAAUCAUAAUUCAAUAUUCGUAGAAGAACGAGAAAGUUCCCUUCUUUUUCAUUACAUUGAUCGCAUCUUAUAAACUUCUGUUGUUUGCAACUAGUUCAUCGGUGCAACCUGUAAUCGCAGGAUCGUGUGUGCUCAUUUGCCUUGAAGGAAUACGUGCGCUACCAAUUAAAUCAGGCUAAACUGAAGUCGGUUCUAAGAUAAUAUCAAAAUGACUUCUCUGCGCAUUAACUAGCUCGAUGAACACGAUGAAUGAAGCAUAAAUCAAAGUGAAACGAAGAGAAAUAGAUUAUCGGAAGUCGAAGACUGACUAUUGAUUUCUGGGGAGACCAGGAAGUUUAUUCAUGGAAGAACAAGAAGCUUCUUCUUCGUUUAUGUUUAUCCUUCAGUUCCACAAAUAUUUCAUAGUAAAUAAUUCAACGUAACUCGCACAACAUGCAAUCUCAAUCAUAUUUAUGAUCACGCGAGCGAAUCGAAACGUAGAAAUUAUCAUGUUCGUGGUAUCGUAUUGAAAGUCCAAAGAAAAGAGAAGAGCUCCUAUUUCCAAGAGAUAGUUCGUCGGUUAAUCGAGCGUGCGCUCGAAUUCAACUCGACAUGACAUAACGAUUCGCCGCCAAUUGAUUAAACUUAACGACGAUUAAGAGAAGGCAAAAUGUUGACAUAAAUUUCUAUUAAAGGGUCAUGGGACCGUGUGUAACUGCUGUCGCCAAGAAGCAUCCCUGUUGGAUUAUAUUCACUUUAAGG